rnacentral:lncRNA from 1 species
AUGCAAAAUAAUUUCAUCAAUUUUUGAAUUAUGUUUCUUCGAGAAUCUUUUGGGUUACGUGGGAUUAGAAGCAUGCGCCCCGAAUCCUCAAUUUUCCCCCAAAAAAAUCCCCCCUAACCUCUAACCCCAACAUCUAUUUAUAGGAGGAGGAAUUAGGUUUUUUUCGGACUUGAAAAACUGAAAUUGAGUUGAUUUUGAGAGAUUUUUGAAAUCCACUGUGGGACAAAACAAAAAGUCGUUGGGCAUUAAUUUAUUACCCAAAAUGGAUGAACAUGUUCUGAGAAAGGGAAAAGGCGGACGCAUUCCUAGCCGUUCUUGGCUGAAGCCGUUGUUGACGCUGUUAUUUUAGGAUGUUAACUGUUUGGACGGUGGUUGUUGAAGUUGCUGGGGUCAUCGCUGUGUUAUAGCGUUGAUGUUGAUAUGGGAAUCUGGUUUGCCGUUGAAAUUGUUGGGUCGUCGGGUUACAGCGUUGAUAUCUCUGUUAUAGGAAUGGGGGCUUUGUCAUUGAAUAUUGUUGUUCGUUGUUGAAACUGUCAUUGUUUGCUGGGCGUACAACGUUAUUUGGUUGCUGUUACGGUGUACGUCUGGCUUAAGGGGCAUUUGGGCUGGUUGUUGUGAUUUGGGCUAUACAGAAAUUGUUGUUGGUUUGCUGAAAUAAAUGGGCCUGGGACAGCCUGGUGUUGUAUUG